rnacentral:rRNA from 1 species
GUUUGAUCCUGGCUCAGAAUGAACGCUGGCGGCGUGCUUAACACAUGCAAGUCGAACGAGAAAGGGAUUGCUUGCAAUCCUGAGUAGAGUGGCGCACGGGUGAGUAACACGUAGAUAAUCUACCUUCAAGCCCGGAAUAACCAUCCGAAAGGGUGGCUAAUACCGGAUGAAGUAUGUUGGCAUAAGUUGAUGUAUGAAAGAUUGCCUCUCCUUGGAAGCAAUUGUUUGGAGAUGAGUCUGCGGACCAUUAGUUUGUUGGUGGGGUAAAGGCCUACCAAGACUACGAUGGUUAGCUGGUCUGAGAGGAUGAUCAGCCACACUGGAACUGGAACACGGUCCAGACUCCUACGGGAGGCAGCAGUGAGGGAUUUUGCGCAAUGGGGGAAACCCUGACGCAGCAACGCCGCGUGAGUGAAGAAGGCCCUUGGGUCGUAAAGCUCUGUCGACAGGGAAGAAAUUGAUUCAUAUUAAUAGUAUGUUUCAUUGACGGUACCUGUAGAGGAAGCACCGGCUAACUCCGUGCCAGCAGCCGCGGUAAUACGGGGGGUGCAAGCGUUAUUCGGAAUUAUUGGGCGUAAAGGGCGCGUAGGCGGUCUUGUCGGUCAGAUGUGAAAGCCCGGGGCUCAACCCUGGAAGUGCAUUUGAAACAGCAAGACUUGAGUACGGGAGAGGAGAGCGGAACUCCUGGUGUAGAGGUGAAAUUCGUAGAUAUCAGGAGGAACACCGAUGGCGAAGGCAGCUCUCUGGACCGAUACUGACGCUGAGGCGCGAAGGUGUGGGUAGCGAACGGGAUUAGAUACCCGGUAGUCCACACAGUAAACGUUGUUCACUCGGUGUAUCGGAUAUUAAAAUCUGAUGUGCCCCAGCUAACGUGGUAAGUGAACCGCCUGGGGAGUACGGUCGCAAGACUAAAACUCAAGGAAUUGACGGGGGCCCGCACAAGCGGUGGAGCAUGUGGUUUAAUUCGACGCAACGCGAAGAACCUUACCUGGAUUUGACAUCCUGUGAAUCCCUUGGAAACUUGGGAGUGCCUUCGGGAACACAGUGACAGGUGCUGCAUGGCUGUCGUCAGCUCGUGUCGUGAGAUGUUUGGUUAAGUCCAGCAACGAGCGCAACCCUUAUCGUUAGUUGCCAGCACGUAAUGGUGGGAACUCUAGCGAGACUGCCCCGGUUAACGGGGAGGAAGGUGGGGAUGACGUCAAGUCCUCAUGGCCCUUAUAUCCAGGGCUACACACGUGCUACAAUGGUAAGUACAGAGGGCAGCAAGCCGGUGACGG